GACGUAGGGCGCGAGCGUUGUCCGGAUUUAUUGGGCGUAAAGAGCUCGUAGGCGGUUUGUCGCGUCUGCUGUGAAAACUCGAGGCUCAACCUCGAGACGUCGGCGGAAACCAUCUGGCUAGAGUCCGGAAGAGGAGAGUGGAAUUCCUGGUGUAGCGGUGAAAUGCGCAGAUAUCAGGAAGAACACCCGUGGCGAAGGCGGCUCUCUGGGACGGUACUGACGCUGAGACGCGAAAGCGUGGGGGAGCGAACAGG
rnacentral:rRNA from 1 species